rnacentral:misc_RNA from 1 species
GAUGAAGAACGCAGUGAAAUGCGAUAAGUAAUGUGAAUUGCAGAAUUCAGUGAAUCAUCGAAUCUUUGAACGCACAUUGCGCCCGCCAGUAUUCUGGCGGGCAUGCCUGUUCGAGCGUCAUUACAGCCCUCAGGCCCCCGGGCCUGGCGUUGGGGAUCGGCGGAAGCCCCCUGCGGGCACAACGCCGUCCCCCAAAUACAGUGGCGGUCCCGCCGCAGCUUCCAUUGCGUAGUAGCUAACACCUCGCAACUGGAGAGCGGCGCGGCCACGCCGUAAAACACCCAACUUCUGAAUGUUGACCUCGAAUCAGGUAGGAAUACCCGCUGAACUUAAGCAUAUCAAUAAGCGGAGGA